ACAUGCGCACUGAUGCACAAACAGUGUCUCCAGGAUCAUCAUUAUAGCCAAGACUGAAGACAUCGCUAACAGUUAAACUUGCCCUGAGGCUGGUGUGUUGCAGGUGAACCAGUACGGCAGGAUCAGAGCCACAGUGUCUCCAGAAUCAUCAUUCUAGCCAAGACUAAAGAGAUCACUAACUUUCCUUGAGUGAACCAGAUACGGCAGGAUCACAGCCACAUGCAGAAUGAGAAGUGUGUGUAUGUCUAUAUUGGAUACUUACAACCAGGUACAUGUAUAAAUACUGUUUGUGAUUGCCAGUUUGUAGCUAGUUUUGACACUAAAUAAACAUGUGUGUUUUGUCUGUUUGGGUUCUAGCUAUUACAUUUAUAGAAAGCAUCUUUCAACACAAUGCAGUUUACUAGUGCGUGACUGUAUAUACUGUUAGAUGAUAUUAGUAUAUUGGUGUUUCCUAUAAUAGCUGUUUGUACUUGUUUCCUGUCUUUGUAUGUUCUACGUGAUAAAUUUCUAGUUAUUACAAGCAUCUUUCAACACAAUGCAGUUUACUAGUGCAGUGACUGUAUAUACUGUUAGAUGAUAUUAGUAUAUUGGUGUUUCCUAUAAUAGCUGUUUGUACUUGUUUUCUGUCUUUGUAUGUUCUAUGUGUGCUAGCCCAGUUCUGUGCUGUUCUGUGCUAUAUAUGACUUGAUGCUACAUUGAUAUACCUGUUACUACAAAUAGUAUCAUCACAAUAAUUAUAAUUAUUAUCUUACUUGUGUUUGCAAGGAUGUGAUUGGAGACACCAUCACUGGCAGUGGCAAGACACUAACCUUUACCCUCACCAUUGUACAAGUCUUGUCAAAUAAUCGUGUAAUAGCUUCAAUUGCAUGUGGGUAAAUAUUCGUUCCAAUGUUCAACGACGAAUAUUUUGCCCCCCGGAAAUCAACAGCUAUAUAUAUAUAAGGUCAGGUAUGUGCUCCUGAUACUGAUAGUUCAUUUCUAUCAUUAAUUUAUAGGUGCAUGAUAAUCAAACCAUUAUUUUGCCAACAAUCUUGAACUACUAUACUGCAUGUAGUACACUCUGUCCUACAUGCUAUAUACCUGGUGUUCAAGUGUCCUAAUUGAACAGCUCAGCUCAGCAAAAUUUUAAAGUAUAAUCGCAUUCAUGACACUAUCCAAUCUACCAUAGAAUCCAAUAUCAACAUUGACAAGUUGAUAACAUGCUCCCUUACAGUUUACAACAGCGUUGGGCUAUACUAUACUUACUUUAUGACUCUGUGAGAGUUGUGUUAGAAUAAUACUGUACACUUAUGACUUAAUCAGAUUAGUGUUAGUUAGUUUCCAUGGUUUGGUGUUAUAGAAUGUUUAUUAGUUAAUUAUCUCUGUACAGUUUCCUGGAGCAAAGC